GGGAUCGUGGCGGAAUAGGCAGACGCAACGGACUUAAAAUCCGUCGGGCAUUGCGCCCGUGAGGGUUCAAGUCCCUCCGUUCCCACCA
rnacentral:tRNA from 3 species